rnacentral:rRNA from 1 species
UACGUAGGUGGCAAGCGUUGUCCGGAUUUACUGGGCGUAAAGGAGCGCGCAGGCGGUCGUUCAAGUCGCGUGUGAAAGCCCCCGGCUCCAACUGGGGAGGUCACGCGGAUACUGAUCGACUCGAAGGCAGGAGAGGGUAGUGGAAUUCCGGUGUAGUGGUGGAAAUGCGUAGAGAUCGGGGGGAACACCAGAGGCGAAGGCGGCUAGCUGGACAGUAACUGACACUCAACUACGAAAGCGUGGGGAGCAAACAGG